AUCUUAUCUAAGCUACAACAAUGUUUCCCCAAUAACCAAAUCUUACAAGUGGAGUCCAAUCAAAUGGGCCAGGAUCUUCAGAUGAAUACUGUCUAAAACAGGUCCAGUGGAGAAGUGAGUCCUCAGUCCUCUGUUCAAGCUGCCAGCAGCGAGAUCAAAUGAUUCCUCUCUUCAGCUGGUAUCACCAAAAGCCAGAAACCUCUUUUCAAACCUCCAACCCAAGGUCCUUCAGGAGAGAAGUGUCAAGACUUUUGGGACCUUAGAAUCUUUUACCAGAUCCUGACCCUUAUGCUCCCAUGUGACUCUCUGUCACAUGCUCCUGUCAAUCACUCUAAGGAACAGCAAGAUCACAGACUAUGUAGCAGGGAAUGGUGUGUAAGAAGACUGCAAAGGGAGGAAGGCAAUGGAAGCUAUGGAGAUCAAGGAAAAAACUAAAGUCAAGUAUAAUAUUUAAAAUGAAGUUUGAAUGAUGCUAGUUAUUCCAAGGGAAAGUGGUAAGAAAAAAAAACAGCACAUUAAAAUAUGGAAAUCUAUGUGCAGAGGUUUGUUGUGUUUCAGGUGUUAGACAUUUUCUUGGAGUAAUCUUUGGUGAUAUGGGAGUACAAACCAAAAUAUGACUAACCACAGAUACAAGAGGGGUGAUGUAUUGUGUUUCAUUUAAUUUUCCAUAUAAUCAUGGUUUAGGCAGACUACUUUUUAAAGUUCAAGUCAUUUUUUAUUUUAAUUUUGCUAAAAUGUAAUAAAUGGUUUGAAAGGUUCA
rnacentral:lncRNA from 1 species